rnacentral:rRNA from 1 species
UGGCUCAGAUUGAACGCUGGCGGCAGGCCUAACACAUGCAAGUCGAGCGGUAGAGAGGUGCUUGCACCUCUUGAGAGCGGCGGACGGGUGAGUAAAGCCUAGGAAUCUGCCUGGUAGUGGGGGAUAACGCUCGGAAACGGACGCUAAUACCGCAUACGUCCUACGGGAGAAAGCAGGGGACCUUCGGGCCUUGCGCUAUCAGAUGAGCCUAGGUCGGAUUAGCUAGUUGGUGAGGUAAUGGCUCACCAAGGCGACGAUCCGUAACUGGUCUGAGAGGAUGAUCAGUCACACUGGAACUGAGACACGGUCCAGACUCCUACGGGAGGCAGCAGUGGGGAAUAUUGGACAAUGGGCGAAAGCCUGAUCCAGCCAUGCCGCGUGUGUGAAGAAGGUCUUCGGAUUGUAAAGCACUUUAAGUUGGGAGGAAGGGCAUUAACCUAAUACGUUAGUGUUUUGACGUUACCGACAGAAUAAGCACCGGCUAACUCUGUGCCA